rnacentral:tRNA from 1 species
GCCCUGAUAGUCCAGUGGUUAAGACUCUGCCUUUCUACUGCAGAGGGCAUGUGUUCAAUUCCCCUUCUGGGAA